rnacentral:rRNA from 1 species
UACGUAGGGGGCAAGCGUUGUCCGGAAUCAUUGGGCGUAAAGAGCGUGUAGGCGGCCCGAUAAGUCCGCUGUGAAAGUCCAGGGCUCAACCCUGGGAUGCCGGUGGAUACUGUCGGGCUCGAGUCCGGAAGAGGAGUGUGGAAUUCCUGGUGUAGCGGUGAAAUGCGCAGAUAUCAGGAGGAACACCCAUGGCGAAGGCAGCAAACUGGUCAUCAACUGACGCUGAGGCGCGAAAGCGUGGGUAGCAAACAGG